rnacentral:rRNA from 1 species
GAUGAACGCUGGCGGCGUGCCUAAUACAUGCAAGUCGAGCGAACAGACGAGGAGCUUGCUCCUCUGGCGUUAGCGGCGGACGGGUGAGUAACACGUGGAUAACCUACCUAUAAGACUGGGAUAACUUCGGGAAACCGGAGCUAAUACCGGAUAAUAUAUUGAACCGCAUGGUUCAAUAGUGAAAGACGGUUUUGCUGUCACUUAUAGAUGGAUCCGCGCCGCAUUAGCUAGUUGGUAAGGUAACGGCUUACCAAGGCAACGAUGCGUAGCCGACCUGAGAGGGUGGUCGGCCACAAUGGAACUGAGACACGGUCCAGACUCCUACGGGAGGCAGCAGUAGGGAAUCUUCCGCAAUGGGCGAAAGCUUGACGGAGCAACGCCGCGUGAGUGAUGAAGGUCUUCGGAUCGUAAAACUCUGUUAUUAGGGAAGAACAAAUGUGUAAGUAACUAUGCACGUCUUGACGGUACCUAAUCAGAAAGCCACGGCUAACUACGUG